CCUUGUACACACCGCCCGUCACACCAUGGGAGUGGGUUGUACCAGAAGUAGGUAGAAUAACCGCAAGGAGUUCGCUUACCACGGUAUGGUUCAUGACUGGGGUG
rnacentral:rRNA from 1 species